AACGCACCUUGCGCUCCUUGGUAUUCCGAGGAGCAUGCCUGUUUGAGUGUCAUUAAUAUAUAUAUAUCAACCUUCUCUUGCUGAGUGGGUUGGAUGUGGGGGUUUGCUGGCCUUUUAAAGGUUCAGCUCUCCUGAAAUGCAUUAGCAGAACAACCUGUUCAUUGGUGUGAUAACUAUCUACGCUAUUGAAUGUGAGGGGCAGUUCAGCUUUCUAACAGUCCUUGGACAACUUAUCAUUAAUGUGACCUCAAAUCAGGUAGGACUACCCGCUGAACUUAA
rnacentral:misc_RNA from 3 species